rnacentral:rRNA from 1 species
GAUGAACGCUGGCGGCGUGGAUAAGGCAUGCAAGUCGAGCGCCCCGCAAGGGGAGCGGCAGACGAGGUAGUAUUAGGUAGGUACUUACCCCUAAGUCAGGAAUAACUAGUCGAAAGACUGGCUAAUACUUGAUAGUCUCGAAAGAGUAAAGAUUUAUCGCUUAGGGAAAGGCCUGCCCGGUAUCAGCUAGUUGGCGAGGUAAAAGCUCACCAAGGCUAUGACGCCUAGGGGACCUGAGAGGGUGACCCCCCACCGAUGGAACUGAGACACGGUCCAUACACCUACGGGUGGCUGCAGUCGAGAAUCUUCCGCAAUGGACGCAAGUCUGACGGAGCGACGCCGCGUGGAUGAUGAAGUACUUAGGUAUGUAAAAAUCCUUUUGUCCAGGGAGAAAGUUUAAUUGAUAGUACCUGGCGAAUAAGAGGUUG